UCAAACUUGGUCAUUUAGAGGAAGUAAAAGUCGUAACAAGGUUUCCGUAGGUGAACCUGCGGAAGGAUCAUUAACGAAGCAUUUGCAAUGGUUUGAUGCUGCCUCGCAAGAGGAAUCUUUACUGUGCACGCCAUUCAAUCUUCUACUUUACCACCUGUGCACCUUUCAUGAGUUGUGACUUGAUGUCUCGUCGUAAAAGGCGGAGCUGAGAGCUAAGUCUUUCUUAGGCUUUGCUUUCAAAACCAUUCACAACUUGUGCUUUUCAUAUACACCUUUUGAUUAAUGAAUGUAUAGUCUAUGGGUUUUAAUCCAUAUAAAUGUAAUACAACUUUCAGCAACGGAUCUCUUGGCUCUCGCAUCGAUGAAGAACGCAGC
rnacentral:misc_RNA from 1 species